GCUAGCACUGAAUCAUUUGUGUUUGAAAAGUUGAAGAGUUUGUAUCUCAAAUGUAAAAGUGAAAAAGUGUUGAAUUUCAUACUUAUAUAUUUUCUGGUUUUUGAUCAGUGGUAUAGAAAAAGUUGAAGAGUAUUUGUAGUGAAAAGAAAGUCUACACAAAUGGCUACCGGAAGUAUAUUUUCCGUAAGGAAAUUUCAAGGGCAUCUAGGUGGUGAACCAGAGAGUGGCGGCCAAAGCGCUUCAAAGAUGAAAUUGGAAAUUACAUGAAGAAAUCUUCUGUAGGCCCAGGGCCAAAUUGUGGAAUUUUUUUCAACACAACUUAGCUGACGCUGACGUAGAUUUUGUGCGUACCCCCACCUAAUAUCUAGUUAGGCAGGCUGACGUUUUGUUCUGAAAUAAUGAGGAUUCGUAUCUCUAUGUUGUACAGGACAAGGCAGGUUUCAGAUACAAAAUGAAGUUACCGAGAUAUGCAGUAUGGACAAAAAUUAGCAGAACGUCAGGCAGUCAAAUGUCAGACAUGUACAAACGAUUUUCUGGUCAGACAGCUGCGUUGAAAAUUUUAGUCUGAGACCCCAAAGAGUACGCAAUGAGUUGGCAAAUGGAUUGGGGAAAAUGCGUAAGUUAUUGGGCGUAUUUGAAAAUGCAAUUUUGUCGUUUUUACUACUUCUACUACCACGUUACAAGCAAACAUAUAUGUAUGUAUUAACAGAAAUGCUAAUACAGUUUGCUGACAAAGUCGAAAAACAGUCUGAGCCUACUACUCAGUAUUUGAAAGACUAUCAAAUUAACCAUAGGCGCAGAGCACCUCUUCGUACGUAUUGAAAAAAAAAAAUAAAAAAAAAAUAAAAAAAACUGAAGACAAAGGGAUACCCAUCUGCAAACAAAGAAAACCCAGUUUUCAGAAUUAGCGGCUAUAUGUUAUACAUAUUUACUUGUUCUUCUUCUCCUACGUCGACAUUAUUGUUGUCUCUUCUACUGCGAACAAACGUAACCGAAAACCCCUGUCAUCGGCGAUAGAGGAAUGAAUGAGAUACGAAGCUGAAAAUUUGAAAUUUGGUAUUGUUUUGUUUCACUUUACAUACUUACAUAGGUUAAUAUGUUGCAAUAUAGAUAGAAAAUAACGUACGUUAAUAAUCUCAAUUUUACCACAAAUUGUUAAGAAAAGAAAAACCUAACAAAAAAUAUUUUUUAUCUCAACAAACCAAAAAAGGGAAAAGAAAAACAAAAUACAACAAAUUAUAAUUUACUAUUGUGAGGGGUUGAAUGAGUAAUUCAAAUUAAAUCAAAACCAUAUGUUGAUGUACAAAAUACAUUCUUAAAAUGUAUCUAAAUCUUGUCUUGAAACCUAAUACAAACUUACGUAAAUCAAAAUAAUAUAUAAUUAAAUAUGAUUUUAUUGGUUUAAAGGAAAUAAUUGUUAUUUUAAAACUUACUGCGUUAUUUAAUACAUGUCUUAAAUCAAUUUAUACCAAAAAUCCACACUAAGGAACUACAAAAUGCGUUAAAAACAUAAAUAAUAAGCAAAAAAAGAAGAAAAAAAGAGCAUUUUCUACAGCGAAAUUUAAAAUAAAUAACUAUUCCAUUCCACCCUCUUUUAAGUCUUUAAUUAAAAUAACUUAUAGAUGCGAUCAUACCUGACCAAAGUGAGUACAAAUAAUUAAUUCAUGCCUAAAAACAUCAAAAAAUAUUAAACACAACUACAUAUAUAUUUUAUUAAACUUUUUUUAUAUAACAAUAACAUCGAUUGAUUUAAAACAGCGUAUAACUUCGAAAAACACUUAAAUUUAAAACAGAUAAUUUGAGCGUGUACCAAAAAAAAAACAAUUUUUCAUUUGAUAAAAAAAUUCUUCACAUAUAAACAUAUUAUUCGACUACAUAAAAUAUAACCUGCGUUUAUUUAUGGGUAUAAAAAUGACAUUAUUAUUGUAUAAAAAGAGUUUGCGUAAUGUCCACUGGAAGCUGCGAAAUUAAAAAAAUCCAUAACUUAUAUGCAUCCAAUGAUAUUAUAUAAUCCUAAAACUCUGCUUAAAAUCUAAAAUUAAUCGACGCUUAAAUCGCCUACGAAAAUAUAAAUACAUCUGUAUAAAUAUAUAAAUACAUAACUGCGUUUAUGAAAAUCUACGAUGUUGAGAAAUGCAUAUUUUGAAGCAAAAAAAAAACAGCAAGAUUUAUACACAUUUCUAUCAAACAACGAUUUUUUUUUUCUAUAAAUAACAAACAAAGAAAAGAAUUUAAAAGUAAAUCUUCAAAUUAGCUGAAUUUAAAGUAAAAUAAUGAAAACUACUUAAUAUAAAAAUAACCUGCUUUCCCAUAUGAAAAGUAUUACCGCGCAAAAAAAACAAACCCUCAAAUCAUCUGUAUUACAAAAGAUACGAAAGUAAACCAGACACUAAGCGUUAAGCCUAUGAAACGAGCGGCAAUGUCCAUACCCAAUGUAGAAUAAAGUACGCUAUGUAAAAUCAGGAAUAAUUUUUAGUUUCCUAGUCUUAUAAUAAUUUAAAAAAAUUAUCAUUAGAUAAUUGGAAUUUCUUCUAAAUAUAGGCAGGAUACAAAACUAGGAGAAAAUAUUCAAAUUUCGAAAUUCUGGUUAAAUGAAUUAAUGUUAAAUUAAUCCAUCAGGGGUGUUAAAGAAUCAGAUGAUUAUUGCCAGAACUAGAAUUGAAACCGACAAAAUGCUGCUUCAGUAGUUACACAUUUGGAUUAUAGAUUUGCAUAUCGGUUUCAUUUUCGAAACAGAAUUUGUAUCGAUGUCUUUUCAAGCGAGAAUUUAAUAAAAAUGUUAUUACCAAUAAUGCCGUACGAUAAUUCCUAACAUUAUCCAGCAUGAACAAAUCAACUGUUCGAAAGCCCUUAGCACUUAUGUUGUAACCACCGAUACGCUAAGGAGGUAUUUGAGUAAUUGCCCAUAGACCGUUGAUAGCAGCCUUCCGCCAAAACCCGCAUUGUGGCCAGCAUAUAUAUUAUAUCUUAUCUUCACCGACAUCGAGCACUAUUGCAAAGUCUUCUUUGUUAAGAUGUUAUUGGCCUAUGAAUUUACAACCAAAUUUUUGUAUCAAUCAGCAAGAUGCACUAACGUCGAUUUUGGCUUCUUAUCCCUUAAAAUCGUUUUCGUUUUAUUUUUUCGCUAGUUUCUCCAAAUCCUUCUUUUAUCAGAAAUGCUAUCACGGAUAAAGUCAAUUAAUCUUUACAAUAAAAUCAUAAAUGUGUAAAAACAAAUGCAUAAAUUAAUCGGGUUAUUGGCACAAGUUUGUUUUCAGUUGAUUCGAUAAUAGGUUUUGCUUAUCUUCGACAUAGCAAAAUCAAGUCGAAUUAUUAAUACAAUUUAAAGGAAAUUGAUUUUCAAUUCCGAUAAAUAAGCAAUUUAAUGUCGGUUUCUAAACCACCCCUGAAUAUUUUACCCUUAAAAUGUCUCGAAAAGAUAAUUUUUUUUAUUUGUUACAAGAAUUUCACUCACAAAAUAUCUUUUAACCAAUAUCGCAAGUUUCUAUUUAAUUUAUAAAUUUCUUUCCCAGUAACAAAAACAAUUUUCAUUAAUUUUGAUAAUUCAAGAUUUCCAACUACAGCAAGUGUUGCAUACUUUCCAAAAAAAUUAUUAUUUUCAAUUAUUCAAUCGAAUUUUCAAAAAAAUAUGGUUGAGGGUUAUAAAGAGUUACUAAGCCCUGAGCGUUAACAUGAAAAAAAUAUCACUUUGACAGCGUUGUAUAAAAUUUUUUAAUAAAAACUUCGAUCAAAUACCCUUUAAACUAGACUUCGUAUAUAAAUUCACUGAGAAAGCGUCGAAUAAAAUGAAUAUGGUUGAUGACAGUAAAGAGUUAUAAAGAGUUACUAAGCCCUGAGCGUAAACAU